GGUGGCGAGUGGCGAACGGGUGAGUAAUACAUCGGAACGUGCCCAAUCGUGGGGAUAACGUAGCGAAAGUUACGCUAAUACCGCAUACGAUCUACGGAUGAAAGCGGGGGAUCGCAAGACCUCGCGCGAAUGGAGCGGCCGAUGUCAGAUUAGGUAGUUGGUGGGGUAAAGGCUCACCAAGCCAACGAUCUGUAGCUGGUCUGAGAGGACGACCAGCCACACUGGGACUGAGACACGGCCCAGACUCCUACGGGAGGCAGCAGUGGGAAUUUUGGACAAUGGGCGCAAGCCUGAUCCAGCCAUUCCGCGUGCAGGAUGAAGGCCUUCGGGUUGUAAACUGCUUUUGUACGGAACGAAACGGUUCUCUCUAAUACAGGGGGCUAAUGACGGUACCGUAAGAAUAAGCACCGGCUAACUACGUG
rnacentral:rRNA from 1 species